AAUCCGCUCUAGCAGGGUUAAAGACAUGGUGAGAUGUUUUCUGCGUUGAUUCAGCAGAAUAAGUGGUGUUGAAAUUUCAAUCCAUUGCAAUGGUGCUACUGUGAACCCCGUCAGGCCCGGAAGGGAGCAGCGGUAAGUGUCGUAUUCGUGUGCCGAUGGACCUCUGGAAUGGAGUUAACUGCUGCUUUGAUGUUGUUUUCAGGUGGGUCAAACUAUGGUGCACGG
rnacentral:SRP_RNA from 1 species